rnacentral:rRNA from 1 species
UCCGUAGGUGAACCUGCGGAAGGAUCAUUAGUGAAAUAACCUGGGACUUGACGUCCCAAACCAUCUCACAUCCACACACCUUUGUGCACUGUUGAAUGGGCCCGAUAAAUAUUUAUAUAUUUUUUCAGGCCUAUUCUAUUACCUUAAAAACAUCUUAUGUAUGUAAGGAAAGUGUUAUCGAAAAUAAUAAUAAAAACUUUCAACAACGGAUCUCUUGGCUCUCGCAUCGAUGAAGAACGCAGCGAAAUGCGAUAAGUAAUGUGAAUUGCAGAAUUCAGUGAAUCAUCGAAUCUUUGAACGCACCUUGCGCUCCUUGGUAUUCCUUGGAGCAUGCCUGUUUGAGUAUCAUGAAAUCUUCAAGAUCAAGUCUUUUGUUAAUUCAAUUGGUUUGACUUUGGUAUUGGAGGUCUUUGCAGCUUCACACCUGCUCCUCUUUGUGCAUUAGCUGGAUCUCAGUGUUAUGCUUGGUUCCACUCAGCGUGAUAAGUUAUCUAUCGCUGAGGACACUGUAAAAAGGUGGCCAAGGUAAAUGCAGAUGAACCGCUUCUAAUAGUCCAUUAACUUGGACAAUAUUUUUAUGAUCUGAUCUCAAAUCAGGUAGGACUACCCGCUGAACUUAAGCAUAUCAAUAAGCGGAGGA